UACGUAGGGUGCAAGCGUUAAUCGGAAUUACUGGGCGUAAAGCGUGCGCAGGCGGUUAUGUAAGACAGAUGUGAAAUCCCCGGGCUCAACCUGGGAACUGCAUUUGUGACUGCAUCGCUGGAGUGCGGCAGAGGGGGGUGGAAUUCCGCGUGUAGCAGUGAAAUGCGUAGAUAUGCGGAGGAACACCGAUGGCGAAGGCAAUCCACUGGGCCUGCACUGACGCUCAUGCACGAAAGCGUGGGGAGCAAACAGG
rnacentral:rRNA from 1 species